rnacentral:lncRNA from 1 species
CAUUCUAAGAGAUGGGGUCUCACACACAAAACCUCUCUUUUCUUAUCCUCCUUCUCCUAGGCUUCCUUGCUGUCUCAUUCGCUUGCGAAUGUAGCCCUCCUAAACCAUCUCCGAGACCCCACAAACCGCCUAAACAUCCCGUCAAACCGCCUAAACCACCAGCAGCCAAACCACCAAAACCACCGGCAGUAAAACCUCCUAAACCCCCCACCAAACCUCCCACCCUUAAACCACACCCCCACCCUAAACCUCCCACCGUUAGACCACAUCCACACCCUAAGCCCCCUACCAAACCUCAUCCCAUCCCAAAACCGCCCACCGUUAAACCACCACCCUCCACACCCAAACCGCCCACAAAACCACCCACCGUUAAACCACCUCCAUCCACCCCUAAGCCGCCCACCAAACCACCCACCGUCAAACCACCACCCUCCACCCCAAAACCGCCCACCAAGCCACCCACCGUCAAACCACCUCCGUCCACCCCUAAACCACCUACCCACAAGCCACCAACAGUGUGCCCACCGCCAACACCAACACCAACCCCACCUGUUGUAACGCCACCAACACCACCAACACCAACUCCACCAGUCGUUACGCCACCAACACCAGCCCCACCUGUUGUAACGCCACCAACACCAACACCACCGGUCGUAACGCCACCGACACCAACCCCUCCUGUCGUAACACCUCCAACACCACCGGUCGUAACGCCACCGACACCAACUCCUCCUGUCGUAACACCACCAACACCACCGGUCGUAACGCCACCGACACCAACCCCUCCUGUCGUAACACCUCCAACACCACCGGUCGUAACGCCACCGACACCAACCCCUCCUGUCGUAACACCACCAACACCAACUCCACCUAAGCCAGAAACGUGCCCAAUCGACACGUUGAAGCUAGGCGCUUGUGUAGACGUUCUUGGAGGUUUAAUUCACAUCGGGCUUGGUGGAAGUAGCGCCAAGAAAGAGUGUUGUCCGGUUUUGGGAGGCUUAGUUGACUUAGACGCAGCUGUUUGUCUAUGUACCACCAUCAAAGCCAAA